rnacentral:misc_RNA from 1 species
AUUAGGGAUACCUAUCGGGGAUAUGUGACUUUUUUUUUAAAGUUUGAUUCUCCUUUUCUUCUCGAGAUAGUCUUUUUAAUCCUCCAUCCAUAUAGUUAUGCUCCAUUCCGAGCAAGAUGUCAAGUUUUCUGGUACUUUUGGUUACAAUGUUUAAUAUCGUAUUCACACCGUAUUAGUUAUAGUGUUCCCCUUUCCAUUUCGUUGGAGGCAUUCUAUUUUGAUUUCUUUGAUGGUAUUUGU